UACGGGGGGGGCAAGCGUUGUUCGGAAUUACUGGGCGUAAAGGGCUCGUAGGCGGCCAACUAAGUCAGACGUGAAAUCCCCAGGCUUAACCUGGGAACUGCGUCUGAUACUGGAUGGCUUGAAUUCGGGAGAGGGAUGCAGAAUUCCAGGUGUAGCAGUGAAAUGCGUAGAUAUCUGGAGGAAUACCGGUGGCGAAGGCGGCAUCCUGGACCGACAUUGACGCUGAGGAGCGAAAGCUAGGGGAGCAAACGGG
rnacentral:rRNA from 1 species